rnacentral:rRNA from 1 species
GACGAACGCUGGCGGCGCGCUUAACACAUGCAAGUCGAGCGAAGCGGCGGACGGGUGAGUAACACGUGAGUAACCUGCCUUAGACAUUGGGAUAGCCUCGGGAAACCGGGAUUAAUACCAAAUGGUCUAAGAUGGACUCGCGUCCCAUUAGAUAGUUGGUGAGGUAACGGCCCACCAAGGCGACGAUGGGUAGCUGGCCUUGGAAGGGGAACGGCAACAUUUGAAGUGAUAAUCGGUCCAAACUCUACGGGUGGCAGCAGUGGGGAAUAUUGAACAAUGGAGGGAACGCUGAUGCAGCGGGGCCGCGGGAACGAAGAAGGCAUUCAGGUCGUAAAUUUCUUUUAUAGGGGAAGCGGUACCAUAAGAAAAAGCCCCGGCUAACUACGUGCCAGCCGCCGCGGUAAUAC